AUUGAACGCUGGCGGCAGGCUUAACACAUGCAAGUCGAGCGAGUGGCGGACGGGUGAGUAAUGUUUGGGAAACUGCCUGAUGGAGGGGGAUAACUACUGGAAACGGUAGCUAAUACCGCAUACCAUCGGAUGUGCCCAGAUGGGAUUAGCUAGUAGGUGGGGUAAAGGCUCACCUAGGCGACGAUCUCUAGCUGGUCUGAGAGGAUGACCAGCCACACUGGGACUGAGACACGGUCCAGACUCCUACGGGAGGCAGCAGUGGGGAAUAUUGCGCAAUGGGCGCAAGCCUGAUGCAGCCAUGCCGCGUGUGUGAAGAAGGCCUUCGGGUUGUAAAGCACUUUCAGCGAGGAGGCGUUACUCGCAGAAGAAGCACCGGCUAACUCCGUGCCAGCAGCCGCGGUAAUAC
rnacentral:rRNA from 1 species